rnacentral:misc_RNA from 1 species
UGUUGAUUUUAACAAUAGACAAAGGUUGAAAGUCAGCUAGUGAAAUCAGUUAUUUAUUUACGGUAUAUGUAUAUUAAAGUAAGAGCGUCGAACGCACUCUCAUAAUCUCUGAUUAUACUACUCCCUUGCGAGCCUUUUUGGCACAAAAAUGAUCUGGGGUGAUCUGGGAACUAGAAUAUGACGAGUCCAUGACGUAAGCCUCGUAACAUGCCAGAGAGAGCCAGAGACCUCGGCCUUAGAGUGUCCAAGAGUGUCCGGGUAUUUCACACGGAUAUUGAAGAAUUAUGAGAAGUUAACACUGUGGAUAUAAGAGCAACUUUCAGUUUCUGAACAGCUGAGGCUCUAGAGGGAAGGAGAACAGUAAGGACAAGACUUACCUUUAGAGAAGUUACAGGAUAAGCAAGUCUUGGUUGAUGGUUUUUGUUCGAGGACUUAUAAAGAAAUCGAUCGCCAAAGU